GGCCUCUCCGUAGGCAGCGCGAGGCAGUGCGCAGUAGAGCGGCUUCAACGAGUCGCGGUCCCCCGAGGGCACGUUCCGGUGUUUGCACAGAUGGUUCCCUCCCUGCCGCAUCCUCUUUCACCUGGCUAACUCCUCAUCCUUGACCAUCAUGGGACGCGGUGGAUCCUGACCCCUAAUAUAGGUCCCCGUUCACUUGAGAACUGGGGUAUAAGUCCCAUGAGAUCUCCUGAGGUUCCCCAACUCUCAGAAAAAAAAAAAAAGAAGAAGAAGAAGAGAGAGAGAAAAGAAUACCAGGAAACUAUGAAAAAAAGAAAAAGGAACACUAAUCUUGCUACUAUAGAUAGUAGUAUUUCAAGCCUCAAUAGUUAAAACAACUUGAUUUGGGUGCAGGAAGAGACAAACAGACCAAUGGACUGGAAUAGAAUGUCCAGAAAUAGACCCAAUUGUACAGAGAUUUAGUAUUUGAUAAAGGUGGCAUCUCAAAGUGGAGAACAGGCUAAUAAACAGUGUUAGGACAACUGGGUAGCCAAGAGGGAAAAAAAAAUUGGAUCUGUGCUUCACCUCGAGUACCAGGCUAAGAUCCAAAAGGAUCAAAGAUGUAAAUGUUUGAAAAAUCAAAAUUAAACCAGAAAAGCACUAGAGGAAAACAUGAGGAGACUCUAUCAUCUCAUCAUGGGAAAAGUCUAACCAUGACUCAAAAACCAAAAAACCACAAAAAAUGAUUGAUAAGGUCAACUAUAUAAAAAUCAAAAACUUUGCAUGGUAAAACACUAUAAAUAAAGUCAUAAGACAAAUGACAAAUAGAGGGAAAUAUUUGCAACUCACAUCACAGACAGAGGGUCAUCUCUUUAUAAAGAAUUCCUGGAAAUUCAUUAAAAGGAUCAACAGUCAAUAGAAACAGGCAUAGGAUAUGAACUGACAGUUUCCAGAAAAGAAAGUACAAAUGGCUUCUAAACGUAUGAAGCUCUCUCGAAAGAAAUGAAAAUCAGGAAAACCACACUGAGAUACCAUUUCUUAUCAGUCUGGCAAAAAAUCCAGAAGUUUACCAUACUUUCUGUAAGGAAACAGUACUCUCACACAUGUGAACAUAAAUUGGUAUAGGUCCCCAAAAAGGCAUUUUGGCAAAAUCUAUCAUAAUUAUAAAUGCAUCCAGAUAUCCUACUUCUGAGAAUUUAUCCUUCAGACAUGCUUUUACAAGUGAGAAAUGAUGUAUGUAUAGAGUUAUUCUCUGCAGCACUGUUUGAAAUAGCAAAAGACUGGAAACAACUGUCCAUUAGUAGGGAUUAUGUUAGGUGGAGUAUAGUCCAUCCAUUUAAUGGAAUAUUACGCAACUAUGAAAAAGAAUGAGGGAGAUCUGUGUGUCCUGUUGGGAAAGCUCUGUAAAGUGUAUUAACUUUACAAAGCAAGGUGCAGAGCAGCAUAUAUGAUAUUCUACCUUUUGUAGAUUAUAUAUUUAUAAUCUUACUGAGUAGCAACAGAAUUAGUGAUUAAGUGCACAGACUCAGCCAGAUACCCUGAGUUCAAAUACACCUUCUGGUACUAUACUGGGCUGAAUAGUGUCCCACCAAAAUUCAUGUCCACCUGGAACCUGUGCAUGUGACCUUAUUUGGAAAUAGGGUCUUUGCAGAUGGAAGUUAGGAGGUCAUAUCUGAUUAGGGUGGACUCUAAAUCCAAUAUGACUGUUUCCUUACAAGAAGAGGAAAAUUUGGACACAGAGACAGACACACAGUAGAGAAGGCCAUAUGAAGGCAGAGGCAGAGGUCGGAGUGGUGCCUCUGCAAGCCAAGGAACGCCGAGGAUUGCUGGCAACCACCUGAAGCUAGCAGAGAGGCAUGGAACAAACUCUCCCCAGAGCUUCUAAAAGGAACGAACGCGGCCAACACCUCAACUUUGGACUUCUGGCCUCCAGAACUGUGCGAGAAUAAGUUUCUGUUGUUUGAAGCCACCCAGUUUGUGGUAAUUUAUGAUGGCAGCCCUAGGAUACUAAGAUAGCUACUUAGAAACUGUGCAAUCUUGGGCAAGAAACUUAGCCUCUCUGUGCCCUGAUUUCCUCCCCUGCAAAAUAAGGCUAAUAGUACUUCCCUCACAGGGUUGGGUUAUAAGGAUUAAAUGAGUUAAUCCUUUAAGGAAUUUAGGAUAAGGUCUGACAUGUAAUAAGUGCUAUACAAAUGUUAACUGAAUAUAAGCUUGUGUUUGCAUAAGGAAACCUUGGAAGGGCAACCAAGAAGCUAAUACAUGUGGUUGCUGGAAGGGAGGGAAUAAGGAGAUGGGGGACAGACGGGAGCAAGGCUUUGCACAGCCUUUGCAUUUUUCAGCCUUUUUAUGUAUUUCUUUUUGAACAUUUGAAUGUA